GUCCACGCCCUAAACGAUGUCAACUGGUUGUUGGGUCUUCACUGACUCAGUAACGAAGCUAACGCGUGAAGUUGACCGCCUGGGGAGUACGGUCGCAAGACUAAACUCAAAGGAAUUGACGGGGCCCGCACAAGCGGUGGAUGAUGUGGAUUAAUUCGAUGCAACGCGAAAACCUUACCUGGUCUUGACAUGUACGGAAUCCUUUAGAGAUAGAGGAGUGCCUUCGGGAACCGUAACACAGGUGCUGCAUGGCUGUCGU
rnacentral:rRNA from 1 species